rnacentral:misc_RNA from 1 species
GCAAACUUGGUCAUUUAGAGGAAGUAAAAGUCGUAACAAGGUCUCCGUUGGUGAACCAGCGGAGGGAUCAUUACAAAACAGAGUACUCGUACUCUAUAACCCUUUGUGAACAUACCUUUGUCAGUUGCUUCGGCGGGAGGCCCCUGGGAGGGGCCCCGGGGCCCGGCCUGAGCCGGGCUCCCGCCGGAGGAGCGCAACCAAAACUCUUGCUGUACCUCAGUGGCACCUCCGAGUAAAAACAAAAAAACAAGUUAAAACUUUCAACAACGGAUCUCUUGGUUCUGGCAUCGAUGAAGAACGCAGC